CCUACGGGUGGCAGCAGUGAGGAAUAUUGGUCAAUGGACGCAAGUCUGAACCAGCCAUGCCGCGUGCAGGAAGACGGCUCUAUGAUUUGUAAACUGCUUUUGUACGAGGGUAAACGCAGAUACGCGUAUCUGUCUGAAAGUAUCGUACGAAUAAGGAGCGGCUAACUCCGUGCCAGCAGCCGCGGUAAUACGGAGGGUUCAAGCGUUAUCCGGAUUUAUUGGGUUGAAAGGGUGCGUAGGCGGUCGGAUAAGUUAGAGGGGAAAUCCCGAGGCUCAACUUCGGGAUUGCCUUUGAUACUGUUGGGCUAGAGGGUAGGUGAGGUAGGCGGAAUGUAUGGUGUAGCGGUGAAAUGCUUAGAGAUCAUACAGAACAACGAUUGCGAAGGCAGCUUACCAAGCUACUUCUGACGUUGAGGCACGAAAGCGUGGGGAGCAAACAGGAUUAGAUACCCCUGUAGUC
rnacentral:rRNA from 1 species